ACCGCUUCGACCCUUUAUCCUCCGGCACCCCCAAACCCUCAACUGAGACGAAAGACUCCAAAGCUAAUAUUUACGCACCGGCUCUGAGCGCCUUAGCGAUGCCAGAGUCUCCGGGGAGGGGUGGCGAGUGGCGGAGAUUGAGGCUUUUCCUUUCCCGCAAAGCACGGUGAAUAAUCCGCCUCGCGGGCUGUGAAGUUCACGACUCUUCUUUGCAGAGCACAAGGAAAUGCACCCGGACGCCGGCACUUCUAGGGGGUGGCGAUCCAGGACCACCCCGCGGAGCGCGUCGACCGUGCAAAGCCCGGAGAUUUCCUAGAGUUCCACUCCAGCCUGUUCACUUUGUGAAGCGUAGAGGAGAGAGUGGACUCUCAGGUGCCCUCUCCCGAAGACCAUUCUGCCCUUCAGCGUCCAGGUCAAGUCCCACCUACCCUGGGGAUCUUUUUCCGCCAACCAAGCCUGAAUUGAUUUCUGUGGCAAUUUCAAGGAUUGUAAAAUGAUUGUAAAAUGCACCUGACCAUCAUUUGCUCACUCCCACCACCGGCAUUUGGAAAUAUGUUUGAUUUAUCUGUUACCACAGAGGCUGGGUGAUGCUACUGGAAUGUAUUAUUCAGGGACCAGAGAAACUAAACCCACCAAAUUGGCAGAUUGGUCCUACUUAGGAAGAACUGGCCCACUGCAAGGAAAAUAAUACUUCCAUAAGUUAUUCAUGUUGAAACACCUGAAACUUCUGGUACUCGAUUAUAUGAAAUUGCCAACCAUCUGAAGUGAC
rnacentral:lncRNA from 1 species